GAAAACGGGGGGGACGGCAGCGGGAUAGCCCGGGAGGGGGCUCGGGGUGGGAGCGGCGCCGGUGGGGCUUGUCACCGCGCUGGGGUCUUCUUCAUCCCGCUGGGACCUUCUCCAUCCCGCUGGGAUCUUCUUCAUCCCGCUGGGACCUUUGUCCCACUGGCAUUUUCAUCAUCCUGCUGGGAUCUUCACCCCACUGGAAUCUUCAUCAUCAUCAUCCCGCUGGGACCUUCACCGUCCCUCUGAGAUCAUCAUCAUCCCUCUGGGAUCUUCAUCACCUCGCUGGGAUCAUCAUCAUCAUCUUCCCUCUGGGAUCUUCAUCACCCCGCUGGGAUCAUCAUCAUCAUCUUCCCUCUGGGAUCUUCAUCACCCCGCUGGGAUCUUCGUCAUCCUGCUGAGGUCAUCAUCAUUCUGCUGGGAUCAUCAUAAUCAUCCCGCUGGGAUCUUCAUCAUCAUCCUUCUGGGAUAUUCAUCAUCAUCCUGCUGGGAUCUUCAUCAUCAUCAUCAUCAUCAUCAUCAUCAUCCCGCUGGGACCUUCAUCACUUCUCUGGGAUCUUCGUCCUGCUGGGACCAUCAUUAUCAUCAUCCCUCUGGGGUCUUCAUCAUCCCACUGGGGUCUUCAUCAUCAUCUUCAUCAUCCUGCUGGGAUCUUCAUCACCCCUCUGGGAUGUCACCCAGGUGCUGCCACUGCGGAGGUCACAGCUCAAAUCCCAGCUCUGGAUCCAGAAAAAGAAGGAAGGAGGAAAGAGAGGUUUCUUCCAGAAAGAAGAGAGCUUGGAACGUGUCCAGAGAGGGGAAUGGAGCCGGGAAGGGGCUGGAAAUCAGGAGGCAGCUGGGAAAGGGGCUCAGCCUGGGGAAAAGGAGGAUCCAGGGGGGAAUUUUCCCUCCCCACAAUCCCUGACAGGAGGGUGGAGCCAGGUGGGACCGGGAUCUGCUCCCGGGGAAUAAUGAACGGGAUGAAGGGAAACCAUUCAGGUUUGAUUGGGGAAAACGUCUUUAUUAAUUAAUCAGCAUAUAAUUAUAUA
rnacentral:lncRNA from 12 species